rnacentral:lncRNA from 1 species
GCUACAUAUGAAGGCCAUCCUGAAUUAAUUAGGCUUUUUGUGAAGACACUAGGAGGUAACAUAACUGGUUCAGAUAGGAGGAUCCUGUUUCUCUGUGGGGUAAGUUUUAUUUUCCUUUGUAGUGCAAUGAGAAAUAUGAAAUUGUGAUGCCGAUCAAUAUUGAGUCUAUAUAGUAUCAAGAUUUGCCCUUUUACAGAUACUUCUGAAAGAUGGUGAAAAUAACCUGAAUAGGCUUUACCAGAUUUGCCACAAUUCUGGUGUGAUAAGGUUCCAUCGCUCAUUCCUAUGUGUUUUUUCAAUGUUAUGGUGGUAUGAUUCAUUGGUCUGCCUACCUGGGUCCGUUGCCCAUUGGAAUACUUGUUUGUCAGGUCAUUUGUGUGAAUUGUGAACUUGUGAAAGUAAAUCCAAACAUGCAUACUGGUUAUUUCUCAAGUUGUUUGAAUUAUGGCUUCUAAACAUGAUACAUAGACAAGUACAUCCUUUAUGAAUUUUAAAAGACUUCUUUAGUUUUAUAUUUCUCACAGUUACUAAGCAUCAUUCACUCUCUCUCCCUCAACUCUUGUAGGACUUCAUGGAAGAUUAUGAGGUAAUUGUGCCUUUUCAGUCUCUUCAAGCUCUAGGAUGCCAUGUUGAUGCAGUUUGCCCCAAGAAGAAAGCUGGUGAAAUCUGUGCAACUGCUGUCCAUGAUUUUGAAGGUGACCAAACAUACAGUGAGAAGCCGGGCCAUAAUUUCACUUUAACAGCUGACUUUGAAGCUCUAUAUGUCUCAAGUUAUGAUGCUCUUGUAAUCCCUGGAGGUCGAGCCCCAGAAUAUUUGGCAUUGGAUGAGAAAGUUAUUGCAUUAGUGAAGCAAAUUGUGGAAGCCAGGAAACCAAUUGCAAGAAGAGAGAAAUUAACUGAAGAAAC